UACGAAGGGGGCUAGCGUUGCUCGGAAUCACUGGGCGUAAGGGUGCGUAGGCGGGUCUUUUAAGUCAGGGGUGAAAUCCUGGAGCUCAACUCCAGAACUGCCUUUGAUACUGAAGAUCUUGAGUUCGGGAGAGGUGAGUGGAACUGCGAGUGUAGAGGUGAAAUUCGUAGAUAUUCGCAAGAACACCAGUGGCGAAGGCGGCUCACUGGCCCGAUACUGACGCUGAGGCACGAAAGCGUGGGGAGCAAACAGG
rnacentral:rRNA from 1 species